UACGUAGGGUGCGAGCGUUGUCCGGAAUUACUGGGCGUAAAGAGCUCGUAGGUGGUUUGUCGCGUUGUUCGUGAAAACCGGGGGCUUAACCCUCGGCGUGCGGGCGAUACGGGCAGACUUGAGUACUGCAGGGGAGACUGGAAUUCCUGGUGUAGCGGUGGAAUGCGCAGAGUAUCAGGAGGAACACCGGUGGCGAAGGCGGGUCUCUGGGCAGCUCCUGACGCUGAGGCACGAAGGCCAGGGGAGCAAACGGG
rnacentral:rRNA from 1 species